CUUUUCCCUUCGGGGACANNGGUGACAGGUGGUGCAUGGUUGUCGUCAGCUCGUGUCGUGAGAUGUUGGGUUAAGUCCCGCAACGAGCGCAACCCUUAUCCUUAGUUGCCAGCAUUCAGUUGGGCACUCUANGGAGACUGCCGGUGACAAACCGGAGGAAGGUGGGGAUGACGUCAAAUCAUCAUGCCCCUUAUGAGUUGGGCUACACACGNGCUACAAUGGACGGUACAAAGGGCAGCGANACCGCGAGGUGGAGCCAAUCCCANAAAGCCGUUCNCAGUUCGGAUUGCAGGCUGCAACUCGCCUGCAUGAAGUCGGAAUCGCUAGUAAUCGCAGGUCAGCAUACUGCGGUGAAUACGUUCCCGGGUCUUGUACACACCGCCCGUCACACCACGAGAGUUUGCAACACCCGAAGCCGGUGAGUAACC
rnacentral:rRNA from 1 species